rnacentral:rRNA from 1 species
AAAUUGAAGAGUUUGAUCAUGGCUCAGAUUGAACGCUGGCGGCAGGCCUAACACAUGCAAGUCGAACGGUAACAGGAAGAAGCUUGCUUCUUUGCUGACGAGUGGCGGACGGGUGAGUAAUGUCUGGGAAACUGCCUGAUGGAGGGGGAUAACUACUGGAAACGGUAGCUAAUACCGCAUAACGUCGCAAGACCAAAGAGGGGGACCUUCGGGCCUCUUGCCAUCGGAUGUGCCCAGAUGGGAUUAGCUAGUAGGUGGGGUAACGGCUCACCUAGGCGACGAUCCCUAGCUGGUCUGAGAGGAUGACCAGCCACACUGGAACUGAGACACGGUCCAGACUCCUACGGGAGGCAGCAGUGGGGAAUAUUGCACAAUGGGCGCAAGCCUGAUGCAGCCAUGCCGCGUGUAUGAAGAAGGCCUUCGGGUUGUAAAGUACUUUCAGCGGGGAGGAAGGGAGUAAAGUUAAUACCUUUGCUCAUUGACGUUACCCGCAGAAGAAGCACCGGCUAACUCCGUGCCAGCAGCCGCGGUAAUACGGAGGGUGCAAGCGUUAAUCAGAAUUACUGGGCGUAAAGCGCACGCAGGCGGUUUGUUAAGUCAGAUGUGAAAUCCCCGGGCUCAACCUGGGAACUGCAUCUGAUACUGGCAAGCUUGAGUCUCGUAGAGGGGGGUGGAAUUCCAGGUGUAGCGGUGAAAUGCGUAGAGAUCUGGAGGAAUACCGGUGGCGAAGGCGGCCCCCUGGACGAAGACUGACGCUCAGGUGCGAAAGCGUGGGGAGCAAACAGGAUUAGAUACCCUGGUAGUCCACGCUGUAAACGAUGUCGACUUGGAGGUUGUGCCCUUGAGGCGUGGCUUCCGGAGCUAACGCGUUAAGUCGACCGCCUGGGGAGUACGGCCGCAAGGUUAAAACUCAAAUGAAUUGACGGGGGCCCGCACAAGCGGUGGAGCAUGUGGUUUAAUUCGAUGCAACGCGAAGAACCUUACCUGGUCUUGACAUCCACAGAACUUUCCAGAGAUGGAUUGGUGCCUUCGGGAACUGUGAGACAGGUGCUGCAUGGCUGUCGUCAGCUCGUGUUGUGAAAUGUUGGGUUAAGUCCCGCAACGAGCGCAACCCUUAUCCUUUGUUGCCAGCGGUCCGGCCGGGAACUCAAAGGAGACUGCCAGUGAUAAACUGGAGGAAGGUGGGGAUGACGUCAAGUCAUCAUGGCCCUUACGACCAGGGCUACACACGUGCUACAAUGGCGCAUACAAAGAGAAGCGACCUCGCGAGAGCAAGCGGACCUCAUAAAGUGCGUCGUAGUCCGGAUUGGAGUCUGCAACUCGACUCCAUGAAGUCGGAAUCGCUAGUAAUCGUGGAUCAGAAUGCCACGGUGAAUACGUUCCCGGGCCUUGUACACACCGCCCGUCACACCAUGGGAGUGGGUUGCAAAAGAAGUAGGUAGCUUAACCUUCGGGAGGGCGCUUACCACUUUGUGAUUCAUGACUGGGGUGAAGUCGUAACAAGGUAACCGUAGGGGAACCUGCGGUUGGAUCACCUCCUUACCUUAAAGAAGC